rnacentral:rRNA from 1 species
CCUACGAGAGGCAGCAGUGGGGAAUAUUGCGCAAUGGGCGAAAGCCUGACGCAGCGACGCCGCGUGAGGGAUGAAGGUCUUCGGAUCGUAAACCUCUGUCAGCAGGGAAGAACGGUCACUGUGCUAAUCAGCAGUGAAUUGACGGUACCUGCAAAGGAAGCACCGGCUAACUCCGUGCCAGCAGCCGCGGUAAUACGGAGGGUGCGCGCGUUAAUCGGAAUUACUGGGCGUAAAGCGCUCGUUGGCGGUAUGUCAAGUCAAGGGUGAAAUCCCCGGGCUCAACGUGGGAACUGCCUGUGAAACUGGCAAACUGGAGUGUGUGAGAGGAUAGUGGAAUUCCAGGUGUAGGAGGGAAAUCCGUAGAUAUCUGGAGGAACAUCAGUGGCGAAGGCGACUAUCUGGCAGAUAACUGACGCUGAGGAGCGAAAGCGUGGGUAGCAAACAGGAUUAGAUACCCUUGUAGUC